CACGUAGGGCGCAAGCGUUGUCCGGAAUUAUUGGGCGUAAAGAGCUCGUAGGCGGACUGUUGCGUCCGCUGUGAAAAGCUGGGGCUUAACCCUGGCCUUGCAGUGGAUACGGGCAGACUAGAGGUAGGUAGGGGAGAAUGGAAUUCCCGGUGUAGCGGUGAAAUGCGCAGAUAUCGGGAGGAACACCGGUGGCGAAGGCGGGUUGCUGGGCCGACACUGACGCUGAUGCGCGAAAGCUAGGGGAGCGAACGGG
rnacentral:rRNA from 1 species